rnacentral:pre_miRNA from 1 species
AGGAAGACAGCACGUUUGGUCUUUUGAGGCAAAGUUCUGAGACACUCCGACUCUGAGUAUGAUAGAAGUCAGUGCACUACAGAACUUUGUCUCUAGAGGCUGUGGUCGCCGAUGCCGCCA